GUGUAUAUAUUUUUUUAAAGCCAUCCACGGACCACCUACGACAAUCCCACCCCAACAAUGAGUAUGUUUGUUCUGCAUGUUUGACAAGUUGUAUGGAACUGUGGCUCGGAUUAUUGUUUCUUCAUCUUCUAUAAUGUAUUCUGAGUGAAUAUGGUGAAGUUUUUUUCCCCUGUUCAGAGAAAUUAGUCAUUGAAGUUGUUGGGUUUAUGUCCCAUCAUACAUCCUGAUAUUACCAGGUUCUUCUGACCACCAGAUGGUGCUGUUCUUGCUAUUAGGUGAUUCUUUGUUAAAGGGAUAGUUCAACCAAAUUACAAAAUUAUCAUUUUCGUUUCCUGUUUACAGUCUGUGGACCAGGUAUGACAGCAACCCAUGCUUUAGUUUUGUUUACAUGGCCACUAUUUCAAAUGCAAACUUUUCUGAAUUUGUGGCACAAAUCCAAUGCAAGUCAACGGUACCAAUAAUAGACUUUUCCUGCUUCAUAUCCAAAUCAUCUAUAAGUAACAUCAUUCAGUUUUACACAAUCAAUUUGUAGAUACUUUAAGAUGAUUUGGACAUGAAGCGUGUGAAUGAUGCUGAAUGGGCGGACAAAAAAAAAAGAGUUCUCGAGCAAGUGUGAAAAACUUCCCGGGGGAUUUUCUGGUACUUGUCUACAAGGUGGAAUAACAAGUUUAUCACAUUUCAAAUAUGUCUAACUUUCCCCAUUGUCAUGGAAAUUCGUACACAGGGACACCCUGAAGAGAGCGCUGCCCCUGAAUGAGGGACACCUAGUCUCUUGUCUAUUUUACCAUUACCUUACGAGAUACAAUUAAGUUAAGAUGGAGGGAGGGAGGGAGGGAGGGAGGAAUUACCAGUCCCCUGGGGCCCUGGCCCUUUAGUGGGACUGGUCCGUUGGUAAAUAUGCACAUUUACUUUCUUCACUUCUGCCUAUAAAAUAGGAAAUAUAUGUUGGUAAUGGUUGACAAUUACGCAAAAUGUAUUUAAGUUUUCCCCACCUCGAGUGAUGUGUAUUGCUGUUGUUUUCUUGCUUUGUUUUUGUCUUGCUUCAAUAACAAAUCUCACCAGAUUGGGUCUGCUGGAUGGUCGGGAUUUCUCCCUAAGGAUUAGCCCUCUAACUCCCUGACCCAAGUAACUCUGCGGUGAGAUCGCCAAGUUGAUAGGGGAGUAUAAGCCAAUUUGGGCAAAAAAGUGUUUAAACUGUGUGUUGUUAUUCUCGUUGACAUUUGUAUUAAGAAUAUUGGUAGUAGUAAUACUUUCUCAUACAGUAAAUAAUUUGUUAUACAGUGAAUCAUUUGUCUGGAUUUCCACAAUCAGAAAUGCCCUAAACUAAACUGUUCUUCUGGUCUGUCCUUUCUCGAGGUUAUGGUGAAGGUGACCACAGAUGGUACCCAGAUGCAUGGAAGGGAUAUCCUGCCGACAAAGCCAAGUAAUCCUAAAGUAGUACAGAAUCUGAAUCUACCAACAUGCGCUUCCAACCUCUAGCGCAGAACAAGGAGGAGAUUCUCAAAACACAAUACAAAAACCUGUCUACAAAAUGUGCCUGCAUGUGUACAGUAUGAGAGCGAUUGAGGAGAAAUGGCACGUCAAUCUCCCAUACAACAAUUCAUACUGUGUAAGAACUGCCUUCGAGACAGGAUAUUUCUGCAGCAUUGAAGGUCCCCAAGAAAACAGUGGCCUCCAUCAUUCUUAAAUUUAAGAAGUUUGGAACCACCAAGACUCUUCCUAGAGCUGUCCGCCCAGCCAAUCUGAGAAAUCGGGGGAGAAGGACCUUAGUCAGGGAGGUGACCA